UGGCUAUGGGAGAUGGGUGGCCA
rnacentral:siRNA from 1 species